GAAGCGUUCCUCCAUGACGGAGCGCACCUGCUGCACCUCGAACUCCAGCUGCUGCCGGAUCAGGUCCAUCUGGAUGGAGAACUACAACCGGGCGGGGUCAGGGACAGCACCAGGGGCCCGCUCCCCCAUCAGGCCACCUGAUUGCAACACGCAUCUCGGAGUGUCUGGCAGACGUCAGCACCUGGACGACUGCCCAUCCCCCGAAGCUUAACUUCAACAAGACUGAGCCCGUCCUCAUGCCAGGGACAUCGCUGUAUCUCCAUCACCAACCGAAAGAAACCUCAGUGUGGUACUGGACAUCAGUCGCACUCCCCAUCUCCCGCCUCGACUACUGCCCCUCGCUCCUGGCUGACUCCCUGCCUCCGCCGUUAACCCUUUGUAGCGUGUCCAGAAGGCUGCAGCGCGCCCGUGUUCAACCUACCAAAACUCUCCCAUCAGACCCCCUCUUCAGGGACCUCCACUGGCUCCCUGUAGUAGCUCCUAUCAGAUUCGAGAGGAUGGUACUGGCAUACAAGGUCGAUGGAACUGCCCCUGCCUGGCUCGAAGUGUUGGUCAGACCACACCCCAGCUCGAUCCCUCUGCUCAACUACCUCAGCUGGACGUCUGGUACCGCCGUCGCUAAGAGCAACCAAUGGUUGAACAACAGUGUCCCACCUCUUCUCUGUUCUGGCCCCGCAGAGUAGGAGCGAGCUCCCUGCCGACGUCAGGACCGCAGAGUCGCUCACCAGCUUCUAGAGACUCAAGACUCACCUGUUCAGAGCUCCCCUAAGCUCUGCAUAGCCACCCCCCUUUAUAUAUAUUACUGUAACGUCUGUUUGAUUAGUCAGAAAGUUGUUAAAUUCCAGAUGCAGCCAUGAUGUAUAAAAAAUAAAGACAAAUGUCAAAUCCU